GUGGGGAUAGGUGAGUGGUAGAGGAGAGGAGGGAAAA
rnacentral:tRNA from 1 species